AAUUAUACCGCGAAACUGCGAAUGGCUCAUUAAAUCAGUUAUCGUUUAUUUGAUAGUACCUUACUACAUGGAUAACCGUGGUAAUUCUAGAGCUAAUACAUGCUAAAAACCCCAACUCACGAAGGGGUGUAUUUAUUAGAUUAAAAACCAAUGCCCUUCGGGGCUUCUUGGUGAUUCAUAAUAACUUCUCGAAUCGCAUGGCCUUGCGCCGGCGAUGGUUCAUUCAAAUUUCUGCCCUAUCAACUUUCGAUGGCAGGGUCUUGGCCUGCCAUGGUUACAACGGGUAACGGAGGGUUAGGGCUCGACCCCGGAGAAGGAGCCUGAGAAACGGCUACUACAUCCAAGGAAGGCAGCAGGCGCGCAAAUUACCCAAUCCCGACUCGGGGAGGUAGUGACAAUAAAUACUGAUACAGGGCUCUUUUGGGUCUUGUAAUUGGAAUGAGUACAAUUUAAAUCCCUUAACGAGGAACAAUUGGAGGGCAAGUCUGGUGCCAGCAGCCGCGGUAAUUCCAGCUCCAAUAGCGUAUAUUAAAGUUGUUGCAGUUAAAAAGCUCGUAGUUGAACCUUGGGCCUGGCUGGCCGGUCCGCCUCACCGCGUGCACUGGUUCGGCCGGGCCUUUCCCUCUGGGGAACCGCAUGCCCUUCACUGGGUGUGUCGGGGAACCAGGACUUUUACUGUGAAAAAAUUAGAGUGUUCAAAGCAGGCCUAUGCUCGAAUACAUUAGCAUGGAAUAAUAGAAUAGGACGUGUGGUUCUAUUUUGUUGGUUUCUAGGACCGCCGUAAUGAUUAAUAGGGACAGUCGGGGGCGUCAGUAUUCAAUUGUCAGAGGUGAAAUUCUUGGAUUUAUUGAAGACUAACUACUGCGAAAGCAUUCGCCAAGGAUGUUUUCAUUAAUCAGGAACGAAAGUUAGGGGAUCGAAGACGAUCAGAUACCGUCGUAGUCUUAACCAUAAACUAUGCCGACUAGGGAUCGGGCGAUGUUAUUAUUUGACUCGCUCGGCACCUUACGAGAAAUCAAAGUCUUU
rnacentral:rRNA from 1 species